rnacentral:rRNA from 1 species
GAUGAACGCUGGCGGCGUGCUUAACACAUGCAAGUCGAACGAUGAAGCCCAGCUUGCUGGGUGGUUUAGUGGCGAACGGGUGAGUAACACGUGAGUAACCUGCCCUUGACUCUGGGAUAAGCCCGGGAAACUGGGUCUAAUACCGGAUAGGAGCGCCUGUCGCAUGACGGGUGUUGGAAAGAUUUUUCGGUCAUGGAUGGACUCGCGGCCUAUCAGCUUGUUGGUGAGGUAAUGGCUCACCAAGGCGACGACGGGUAGCCGGCCUGAGAGGGUGACCGGCCACACUGGGACUGAGACACGGACCAGACUCCUACGGGAGGCAGCAGUGGGGAAUAUUGCACAAUGGGCGGAAGCCUGAUGCAGCGACGCCGCGUGAGGGAUGACGGCCUUCGGGUUGUAAACCUCUUUCAGUAGGGAAGAAGCGAAAGUGACGGUACCUGCAGAAGAAGCACCGGCUAACUACGUG